rnacentral:rRNA from 1 species
UACGAAGGGGGCUAGCGUUGUUCGGAAUUACUGGGCGUAAAGCGUGCGCAGGCGGCCAUUUAAGUCAGGGGUGAAAGCCUGGGGCUCAACCCCAGAACUGCCCUUGAGACUGGAUGGCUGGAGUGCGGGAGAGGUGAGUGGAAUUCCCAGUGUAGAGGUGAAAUUCGUAGAUAUUGGGAAGAACACCCGUGGCGAAGGCGGCUCACUGGCCCGUAACUGACGCUCAGGCAAGAUAGCGUGGGGAGCAAACAGG